UUUAUUUUUUAAGAAAAUGAUUAAGCUAGUUCGUAGUCAACUCAGCAACCGUUUCCCCGGCAACGGUGCCAAAAAGCUUGUUGACACUUGCUAACACCACUUGAAUACUAGGAUGUCAUCCCCAGCAUGGCACUAGAGUGUACUAUGGUAUUUAUACGCACACAGAUAAAUCCGCAAGCGCACGAAUACCGUUGUAGCUUUUACCCGGUUAAAGGUUUUUAUCAUAUCCACAAGGAAACGGGAGA
rnacentral:lncRNA from 1 species